UACGGAGGGGGCAAGCGUUGUUCGGAUUUACUGGGCGUAAAGGGUCCGUAGGCGGUUGUGUAAGUCUGGUGUGAAAUCUCCGCCGCUUAACGGGAAGCAGCCACUGGAAACUGCAUAACUUGAGUCUGGUAGAGGCAAGCGGAAUUCCUGGUGUAGCGGUGGAAUGUGUAGAUAUCAGGAAGAACAUCUGUGGCGAAGGCGGCUUGCUGGGCCAGUACUGACGCUGAGGGACGAAAGCGUGGGGAGCAAACGGG
rnacentral:rRNA from 1 species